UCCCAAGUGGCUCAGCAGUGAAAGAAUCUGCCUGCAAUGCAGGAGACACAGGUUCAAUCCCUGGGUUGGGAA
rnacentral:tRNA from 1 species